AUCACUUCUCAGCCUUUUGGCUAAGAUCAAGUGUAGUAUCUGUUCUUAUCAGUUUAAAAAAAGCUUCCUACAUCCCUACCGUGCCUGACCCUGUUCUAGAAUGGCUAUUUGUAUGUGUGUGUGUGUUUGUGUAUCUAGUAAUGUUUACAUGCAUUCUUCCCUUGGGGAUAUAUAU
ensembl:snRNA U2 U2 spliceosomal RNA